rnacentral:rRNA from 1 species
CGCAUCUGUGCAUGCAGUAUAUCAAUAAGCGGAGGAAAAGAAACUAACAAGGAUUCCCUUAGUAACGGCGAGUGAAGCGGGAAGAGCUCAAAUUUGAAAUCUUCAAGGUUUUACCUUGACGAAUUGUAGUUUAAAGAAGUGUUUUCUGUUGAAGUUUUGGUAAAAGUUCUUUGGAAUAGGACAUCAUAGAGGGUGAGAAUCCCGUACUUGACCAUUAUUUUCAGCUGUGUGAUACACUUUCAAAGAGUCGGAUUGUUUGGGAAUGCAGUCCAAAAUGGGUGGUAAAUUUCAUCUAAAGCUAAAUAUUGGCGAGAGACCGAUAGCGAACAAGUACCGUGAGGGAAAGAUGAAAAGAACUUUGAAAAGAGAGUUAAACAGUACGUGAAAUUGUCAAAAGGGAAGCGUUUGACACCAGUGUUGUUUUCUCGAAAAUCAAUUAAAAAGAGUUUAGAUUUUGUUGUGUAUUGACCUUAACAGCUUGCAUUUCAAUUUUCUUGCUUUUUUUAAUGCACUUUUCGUUUAACAAGUCAACAUCAGUUUCUUUUGUUGUAAUAAGGUCAUUGGAAGGUGGCUUUCUUUUCGGAGAAAGUGUUUAUAGCCUUUGACUCCUGCAAUCGGAGAGACUGAGGUCUGCAGCGUAGAUCCUUCGGGGUUAGAUACAUUUGUGCUAAGUUAUAGCUUUUUAUAGACAACUUGUUGACUAUGAUUAGUCUUGUAGCUUACUCGCUUAUGCUAUUUUACCUACGCUUAGGAUGUUGACACACGCGCGUGCUCGAGUCUAUACAUGACUCUGCGCAUAUCAAUAAGCGGAGGAAAAGAGGGCUAAUACCUACGCUUAGGAUGUUGAACUCUAUCACACACAG